GGCUGAGUCGGUGCCACGCGCCGCGGUAGGAGGAAGGGGGCUGGCGUUGUUCGGAAUUACUGGUCGUAAAGCGCGCGCAGGCGGUUCUCCAAGUCAGUGGGGAAAGCCCGGAGCUCAACUCCGGAAUUGCCAUUGAAACUGUUGAACUUGAGGAUGAGAGAGGUGGGUGGAAUUCCCAGUGUAGAGGUGAAAUUCGUAGAUAUUGGGAAGAACACCGGUGGCGAAGGCGGCUCACUGGCUCAUUACUGACGCUCAGGCGCGAUAGCGUGGGGAUCAAACAGGAUUAGAUACCCAGUAGUC
rnacentral:rRNA from 1 species